ensembl:lincRNA RIKEN cDNA C130071C03 gene
AUAAGAAUUAAGGGUGCUGAAAAUGGACGCUAGAGAGUCCAAAAGGAGAGAUGGCAUACAGCUGUAGGUUUGAGAUGGGAGGAAAUAUAUGUGAAUAUUUAUACACAAAAGCCGUUGGGGAGGGCUGAGUCUUGCCUCGAGUAUCUGUGCAGAAGAGGAGAGGGAGAAAACAGACACCAGCAAAGCAUUCCUGUAACACGAUGUGCUACACAAGUUCCCAGUAGCGACAGACACCUAAAGGAGCCUGUUUGUGUGCUGUGUGCCCACGUUCUGCUGUGACUGGAUCUUGUCUUCUGCCUGGCUCCUCGAUUUCCGUCCGGCUGGAUUUGGGGACAACACUGCCUGGCGCAGACAGAUCAAAUGACACUUCAAAGAAGCAUAAAAUGAACAGACUAUUCAAACAAAGGUAAUUUACAUUUUUUUAUUUGAUAAAACCUGACUGAUGUACAAAACGAAAAUAGAAUAUUGUUUUCUGGAAAACAGGUCUACAAUCUCUCACACAUCUUCUCUUGCAACAGAUAGAAUUCCAGAAACAUCUAAGUUCCUGUGUGUACAGUUAUUUCUCCUGUAGGAGCCUUUGUAUGGAUGUAAUACACACAUAUAUGUAUAUGCAUAGAGCAUGACAUAAAUAAAACCUGCAAUAUCCUAUAAGAAAGAAGCUCCUAUUUAGAGGAAAGGGUAAGAUACUUUUAUUAUAAUGAAAGCCAGUUCACUUCAUCACUUGGACCAUGGACACUAAUGUAAAUAAAAUGGCUUAAAAAAUAAGGCAAUAGUAGUAUUGACUGUAGACUACAAUUUGCACAUUUGUAAUUCUUAUAAAUGAAAUAUUUUAAAUGAUUUGGUGUUGGGCCAGUUCCUUAUGCAUUCUGCAUUCAUGUGUAUAGGAUUCAAAGACUUUCCAAAUAUUGAUCAUAAACCAAGUGUAUAUGAAUUAAUUAAAUAGCAUAUUUCUGGCCCAAAUAUGAGGAAAACCAUAACUUUUUACUGUAAAUCAGGAGAGAUUGUUUUAUCCCCAAAUAAACUAGGAUGUUUCAAGUCAUGUUUCAGCAAUUUGGAGAGCUACAAACUAUCUGCAAGCAAGCACAACAACCAUACUCUAAUCUACUAGAUACUAGUGAGAACUUAGUGGCGAAUAAGCAGACAGGCUGCUUGAAUUCAGUAUAUCCUUCUUGCUGAUUUUCAAGUAGAUAUUCUGUCGCUCAGCUAGAUAAUCUUUUAAAAGCAAAAAAAAAUUUAAGUUUAAAGUGUAGUUGCUAAGAGCUGCUCUUCACAGGUGACAUCGCUAAGAGUCUUUGAAGAUAUGUAAUUGUAACGUAUUGUGGGGUGUAUAUAAUAAUACAUACAAUAAACCAUUUUAUAAACCUUGGCAAUCUU